CCCAGAGGUAUUGAUAGGUGAAGUCAGCGACUAAUGCUGAUCCUAUGAAUUACACCAACCUGCGCGGAUGCGCAGGUUUUUUUU
rnacentral:sRNA from 2 species